CCUACGGGAGGCUGCAGUGGGGAAUAUUGGGCAAUGGGCGCAAGCCUGACCCAGCAACGCCGCGUGAAGGAAGAAGGCUUUCGGGUUGUAAACUUCUUUUCUCAGGGACGAAGCAAGUGACGGUACCGGAGGAAUAAGCAACGGCUAACUACGUGCCAGCAGCGCCGGUAAUACGUAGGUGGCAAGGGUUAUCCGGAUUUAUUGGGUGUAAAGGGCGUGUAGGCGGGGACGCAAGUCAGAUGUGAAAACCACGGGCUCAACCUGUGGCCUGCAUUUGAAACUGUGUUUCUUGAGUACUGGAGAGGCAGACGGAAUUCCUAGUGUAGCGGUGAAAUGCGUAGAUAUUAGGAGGAACACCAGUGGCGAAGGCGGUCUGCUGGACAGCAACUGACGCUGAGGCGCGAAAGCGUGGGGAGCAAACAGGAUUAGAUACCCUGGUAGUC
rnacentral:rRNA from 1 species